rnacentral:lncRNA from 1 species
UUUCAAUUUAAAUUUAGUCAGAGAUGUAAUAAAUAACUGUUUUUGCUUCAGUUGUUUACCUUUACUGGUUGCAGUUCUGGCUCCGUCCAGCAGAGGACACUUGUGUCUCACUGGUUUGACAUUGACCAUGAGCCUCAUGAAGGAGGGAAGGACCAUCACCUGCAGCUCAAUCUGACUCUGAACCAGAGUCAUUAAACCAUUUAGCAACAAUCAAACCAGAGGACCCUCAGCAGGUCUUCACUCUAUCAUCAGCAGGAGCUCCUACAUGUUCCAGAUUGUGGCAUAAAGGGAAUAGAUCCAACCAACUGAUGAAUCUCUUGAGGUGCAGCUGGAUGAAAACUGCUGCGAUGACACGCCCCGAUGCGCCUUCUGUGCUGCUCUGAGAUCCUUUUGCUGCGUGGAUGAUUUAUGGCGUCGUUCCGGCUCCGGACCUCCGCAUCCAGAUUGGUCUGCAUGGUGUCCAGGACGCGCUGACUGUUUCUCUUCAGCUGGUCGAUCUCCUCGUCCUUCUCCGCGACCUUCUUGUCCACCUCGGACUUCACCUGGUUCAGCUCUAACUGGACCCUCAGGAUCUUGGAUUCCUCGUGCUCCAGAGAGGCCUGGACACACAACGGAUCAUGAUGUGAAAGUUCUCACAGGUUUCUGGUUUUCUUCUUCUCCGUACCUCAGCUUCUUCCAGAGCUGCCUGAGCCUCCAGCUUCUCCUGCUCAGCCUGCUUCUUGGAUUUCUCCAGCUCGUGGAUGGAUUUUCCCAUCUCUCCCAUCUGCUCGGUGAGGUCCAUUAUUUCUUCUGCAGCAAAAGGAAAUGUGAGGAUCCUUCACCGUUAAAUGAAACAGCGGCAUUACUGAGGAUCAGACGGACGUUGGAGGUUUUUAUUCUCUCGUUUGAGGGUCUCCAGCUGCUCCAGGCAUUCUUCAAAGGCGUUCUUCAUCUUGAAGUUCUCCGUGCCCAAAGAGCGCGCCUCCUUCAGAGAGGACUCCAGCUCCGCCUGAGCCUCCUCGUGCUUCUGCUUCCACUCAGCCAAAACCUUCAGGGCAGAGAUGGUGCAGUCAGUGCUUCAGUUUGA